GCAAAAGCCAGGCGAGCAGCCGCGGAGAUAGGAGGGGUGGAAGCGUUAAGCGGAAAUACUGGGCGUAAAGCGUGCGCAGGCGGCUGAUUAAGUCAGAUGUGAAAUCCCUAGGCUCAACCUAGGAACUGCAUUUGAAACUAAUAAACUAGAGUAUCGUAGAGGGAGGUAGAAUUCCAGGUGUAGCGGUGAAAUGCGUAGAUAUCUGGAGGAAUACCAGUGGCGAAGGCGACCUCCUGGACGAAAACUGACGCUCAAGCACGAAAGCAUGGGGAGCAAACAGGAUUAGAUACCCCGGUAGUC
rnacentral:rRNA from 1 species